UCUCUAGCAGAUAAUGUUUUGUGUGAUUCCAGGGGGACAGUCACAUGUUCAAAUUAAAGUUUAAGUCUAGGGAGGGAGGUUAUUUAACUUUUAAAUUUUCUCAUUUUUAGAAGGAGGACUUCAUAUUCUAACCACAAUCAUCUAUGCCCUGAGGACAAAUAAAGACCAGAAAAAUUAGAGAUCUUACAAACACUAGGAAAAAAACUCCUCUGGGACUGAAUUGACACCUGCAUUCACCGAAUGCAGAGCCAAGAAGUGAUGGGGCCCUUCAUGGGCAUCAGCUCUGCAACUGCAAGGCCAGAACUACUCAACCCCUCCCUGAUUUGCAUAAUUUCCUUGGAGUCCAUAUCUGCUCUUUAGAAUCCUCAUGAAUAGCCUUCACAGUGGUUCUGGGCAAGAAACAACCUCUGGUUGGCCUAGAAUGAACAUGGGUGUCCUGACCCAACUCUUUUGCCUUCUGCUGCUCUGGCACCCAGGAGCUGGGGCUGC